UACGAAGGGGGCUAGCGUUGUUCGGAAUUACUGGGCGUAAAGCGCACGUAGGCGGAUAUUUAAGUCAGGGGUGAAAUCCCAGAGCUCAACUCUGGAACUGCCUUUGAUACUGGGUAUCUUGAGUAUGGAAGAGGUAAGUGGAAUUGCGAGUGUAGAGGUGAAAUUCGUAGAUAUUCGCAGGAACACCAGUGGCGAAGGCGGCUUACUGGUCCAUAACUGACGCUGAGGUGCGAAAGCGUGGGGAGCAAACCGG
rnacentral:rRNA from 1 species